GGAAAUAUCCUAGGAUGCAUCUUGCUGAAUUUAUCAAUUUUAUUCUAUUUGAAAACGUGCAUGAAGAGCUUGCUCGCCACUAUUGCUUCCAGUCAGGAUGGGAUGAUGUUGUUUAGGAGGUGUUCAUAGUACCAGGUCUCCAUAGACAUGACCGUUUCAGAAUAGGAACAAGAUAUGAAAUAUUUUCAAUCGCUUCUCAGUUCUGAAAUUAGCUCCUCUCUUCAUGUAUUGCCGUGGGACUAAUCAAGUACUUGAUCAUCGAAGGUGGCGGUAAGGCGUGUGAGCAAUUAAUUAUCAGGUGUUAGCUUGGAAAGGCAUAUGCAAGUGUUGUCUUCGGGAACCCCAAGUUCAUUUCCAACAACAAAUGUAGAUUUUGAUUCCUAAAUAUAAUAUGCAACUGAAUCUGUAUUACAUUUUCGUUCAGUAAUAUGUGAAUAUUUGUGCCAGUUUUGUACAUAUUAGGAAAAAAGCUACAAUCAAGACAAAAUUAAACACAUGUUAUCUGAUUCUUUAUGAA